rnacentral:tRNA from 1 species
UUAAAAAAAAACCAAAAAAAGCUUUGGGGCCCAUCCCCCAAAAAAAAAGAAAAUCCCUUUUUUUAAA